CCGGCCAAAGCAAGAACAAAGGAAGAAAAGGAAGAGCAAAACCCUAGGUGGAAAAAUUCAAGGGAAAAGUGUGAAAAUUCAAGGAAACAAGUGAAAAAAAGGUAAGAUUUUUCAAUUAAGCUUGAGAUCUCUCUUUCUUAAGCAUUUUUUCUUAUUUUCCAUGAUUGAAUCACAUGAUUUCAUGAUGGGUCUCUUGCUGGCUGAACACUUAGAGAGAGAUUUUGAUGGUUGUUUUGGUUAGAUUUUAAGAUAUUCUAGUGUUUUUAGUUGAUUGGUGAUGUGUAGCAUGAAAAUCAAGCAAGAAAAAUUCAUGUUCUCCCAUCACCCAUCAUUGGCUGAAUUCUCCAUGUAGAAUAUUGAUGAUGAUUUUGAUUUUAUUUCAAGUGAUUUGGUUAGGAAUUAGUGAUUUAUGGUGUGAGAAUUAAGCUUGAAAAAUUAUAGUGUUGAUGCACCCACCAUGGCCGAAUUUUCCAAGAGAAAAUAUAAGGAUGAUUUUUCCAUAUUUCAAGUUAUUUAACUUGUGUUUGAUGGUUUGGAGUAUUAGGAGAGAAAUGGAAUUAUUUAGAGUUGAAUUGGACGUAUUGGCCAAUUAAUUGGGUGAUAGAUUGAAUUAGGCCAAUACCAUUUUAUUUAGGUACACAAUUGAACUUAUAUUGAACACCGUAUUUAGAUAGUACCUGAGGAUCAAGAAUCAGAGUACUCGAAAUUCGACUCCUGAAAUAGUGAGUAACCUUACUAUCGUCUUAAUUAUCUAAAGUCAUUUUUAUUCGUUUUUGUGAAUUUUAUGGAAAAUGAGUUUAAAUGGUAAAUCUUUAUGUUUUAUAAGCAAAAUGUGAUUAAAUGAAAUGAUUUUAAAAAUUGUCUUGAAAUUGAAAGAUGGUUUUGAAAAUGGAGUAAUUGGAGACUAAUUGCUGUGUUAUAAAUCAUGGUUUGAAUUGAAUGGCUUAUGAUAAUAUUGGCAUGAAUGGUUGGAUUUGGUAAAUGUGCUGAAAAAGUAUGAACUGUUGAAUUACCUUGAGAGGCUGUAAAAUAAAAUAAUUACCAUAUCAUGUUGUUGAAUUUUAUUGAAUUUGUGAGUUAUAAAUUGGUCGCUGCAGUGGAUGGUGGUUUCGUGGACCAACCUAUUAGAGGGGCAAGGUAACCCUAUUAUAUUCGUAUCUCAGUAUGAGAGGCACGGUUGGAUAACUCCUGAGGUUAAAACUUUAGAGUUCACUUCACGCCAAAUCACCACGUGAGGGUGAACUCAGCCAAAGCCAAGGAACGACUAUGUUUUCAAAAUAAAAACAUGAUUUAUGCGUACAUAACUUUUUAACAGCCUUGGCGAACUCGGUUGAGAUAGCCCUCUGCCAAGGUAUCCCUGAUAACUAAGUAUGAGAAUGAUUUUGGCACGAGCCAAACUUUUCAAGAAAUCAUAAGCCUCAUUGUUUAUUUUGGUGAAAUGAAUCUAUUUUAUCUUAUUAAAAUGAGUUCGAAAUGCUGAGAAUCAUUUUUAUGCUAAUCUGUUUUAUCUGUCUCCAUUUACUCAGCUUUAGAUAUUUUAGAUGGUAUUUGUUUACUCAUUGGGAUUAUAUAAUCUCACCACCCUCCUUUCCACCCAUUUCAGGCUCAAGAUAGUCUGUAGAUAGCUCAUUUCUUUGAGGGCUACAGUUGGACUUGCAUCUUUAAAAACUGUAGGUUUACCACUUUUAAUACUUUUGGUCAUUCGUGGGCCCAUGUGUCACUGUAAAUUAGAUCUUAUGCUUUGGUUAUCUGUAAUACAGUAUGUAUGAAUUUAUUUAGCUUUUAUGCUACAAAAAUUAUUUACCAAG
rnacentral:lncRNA from 1 species